UUUAUUUCAAAAUGUUUGACUAAUGGCAGCUGUAACAUUAAUGAGCAUAGUCUAACACCUCACUCUCCCUCCAUUGACUAGCUCCAUCACUGUUCUCCAUUUUGUGGGCCUAGUCAAGUUUUUCAUUUUACUGUCUGGGUCUGGGGCUAACUCCCGCCGGCGCAUAAUUGUGACAAAGGUUGAUGUAUAUUGACGUAAAAGUCAGAUCAAAUCUGCUUUGGUUAU